AGAUAAGGAAAAUGAGAAACAACUGAUAUUAAAGGGCUUUACAUAGUGCCUCAAACAUAAUGAGGCCAAUGUACAAAGCUGAGAGAUAAAUAUUACUGAAGAAGCAAGUGGAAGAAGAACCUGGCAAAAGUGUUUCAAAAUGAGUACGCUACAAGAAUGUGGGAAAAGGUCAAGGAAAGAGAUGUAAUAUAAGAUAUAGAGCUCAAAAUUAAGGAAUGGCAUAAGAGGAAGAAAAAGAACUAGCAGAGGAAGAAAAGAAA
rnacentral:lncRNA from 1 species